CUUAUCUCUGUAGUGGGAUAGAAUAUAAGAAAAUAAAGAUAGUGUAGAAGUUAAUCUUACCCCUAAGGAGUUGCAGCUGGGUUAAUUAUCAAAGAUUAGGAACAGGCCUGACUUUAACAGCCACAGCUGUAACCAAUGAGAAGAAGAUGCUAUAAAGGAGUGGGUUGGUUGGUUGAGAAGGGAACUGGAGUCAGUUGGCUGCUUUGUGAAGAGGAGAGAGUCAGUGCUCUGAGGAGCUGCUCAUGAGAAACACCAAGAAGCUUGGACAAUCAAUCUGUGGAGGAGACACCUUUUGGAAACUUUCAAUUGGUUGUUUGAACCAGUUCCUAUUGCUAGGUCUCCUGCAUGUGUUCCAGGUCUGGCCUAAAGUCAAACAGCUAUUUAGGAAUCCUACCUAAAUCCCAGACACUUGCCCUGUGACUGGAUGCUUCCUAAGCGGCAGGGUGUGGAGGUGUAUGGGAUUUGCAUGGCCAAGCUUUGGUAGCUGGAGGGGGCUGCAGGGGUGGCUUCUGUGAGAAGCUGCCAGAAGCUUCCUCCAUGUCCAGCAGAGCCACUCCCUGGUGGUCCCAAAGCUGGGCAUGCUGCUGGUCAAGGCGGGGCCAAGUAGAAAUGGUACCACCUCAAUGAUAACAUAUUUAAGAAAAACAACAAUAACAAAAAAGAGGUUUUGGCCAGUUGUAAUUGCAGCCAGAGGAUAGUGGGGUGAGAACGUGUGAGAGGAUCAGCCCUGCAGACACCAAGGUCAGCAGAGAAGGGAGGAGGGGCUCCAGGCACCAGAGCUGAGAUUCCUCUGCAGCCCAUGGGAAUCCACAGGGAGGCAGAUCUCCACCUGCAGCCUGUGGAGAAGUCCAAUGCUGGAGCAGAUGGAUGCCUGAGAGGAAGCUGUUACUCUAGGGGAGGCCCAUGGAGGGAGGAGCCCAUGUUGGAGCAGCCUGUCCUGGAACGACUGCACCCUGCACAAGAGUGACCCACAUUGCAGCAGUUUUGGGAUGAUUGUUGCUCAUGAGAUGGAUUAAUGCUGGAGAAGUUAAUGGAGAAUUGUCUCCCAUGGGAAGGACCCCAUGGAUGACAGAGCAAAGGAAGAGCUCCUCUCUCUGAGCAGUGGGACAAUGUUGGGUGAUGAACUGACCAUUCCACCCAUUCCUUGUUUCCCUGCACCACUGGAGGAGGAGGUAGAGCUGGGAGGGGUGGGGGAAAGGUGUUUUUAAGUUUUUAUUUAAGCUCUUAUUAAACUGCUUUGACUUUAUUAGUGAUAAUUUUAAUUAAUAUCUGUAAUUCUGGCCUGUUUUGUCUGUGACAGUAUUCCAUGAGUGAUCGCUCCCAUUCUCAUCUCAACUCACGAACCUUUGGUUACUGUCCAGUUGUGGAGGGGAGUGAGUGAAAGGCAUUGGUGGGAGCCUUUCCAAGCCAACCCACUGCAGUGGGACAGCAUGGGCAGGUGCCCAGGACAGUGGGAACCUCCAGUGUAUUCAACUUCACCCUUGAACAAGUGCAGAUGGUGGAUAAACUAGUAAAACAUCUGGAAAAAGUAUGCUGGUGCCCUGGCUGCUCCAGAGAGACACAGAUGAUUGCAACGUGCUGGGGCCUGGCCCAGGCCUGCUGGGUCCUCUUCAACCUUAUUCAUUACCCUCAAGGGGAGAAGAAGUCUCUGGAUCUGAUGACAAGAGAACAGGCCCUGCAGCUACUCUGAUCCCAGAGACAGGCACAGCACCUGGCCCUGAGAACCAACCCAUGCUGCUGUCAGCUGCUCCUGUGCAGGAGAAAACACAGAUGCAAAAGUCACUUUGUUCAGUAAAGGGGAACAAAGUGAGGUUGCCACAAGAACGUGGGGAAGAGGCAGAACAAAGUGGGAUCUUCCAACACUGGGAUACACACUUAGCAAAGGCCAUGUGGUUAAUGAAGACCAGAGGAUCUGCCACUUUGGCUGGCCCUACCCAGUCAAAACUCCUAUGUACUUCCAUGUGGAAGGUGAUAAAGUUCCUGUAAUGCAUGUAAAAAAUAUGCUGGGGAAAGCACUCUGGGUUACUGCUGCCUUGGGCAAAGACAAACCCAUUUGUGGGAUGAAUUCCAUGCUCUGCACAAUAAGCUGGAAGGGGGCAUGUCCUGGGCAGCUGCCCAGAACUGUCCGAAGGGAUAUUCUUUACCACAGAACAUCAUAAACACCACUAUAUAAACUGGGGGGCUGCUCACUGCCCAGUGAGGGGCUGGUAAGUCAUUAUGCUGUGUAUAACUUGUUUCUUUGGGGUUUUAUCCCUCUCUUUGUUGUCACCUUUUUCGUUAUUAUUUUAUUCCAACUAUUAAACUGUUCUCAUCUCAA